rnacentral:misc_RNA from 1 species
GAUGAAGAACGUAGCGAAAUGCGAUAAGUAAUGUGAAUUGCAGAAUUCAGUGAAUCAUCGAAUCUUUGAACGCACAUUGCGCCCGCCAGUAUUCUGGCGGGCAUGCCUGUUCGAGCGUCAUUUCAACCAUCAAGCCCCAGGCUUGUGUUGGGGACCUGCGGCUGCCGCAGGCCCUGAAAACCAGUGGCGGGCUCGCUGUCACACCGGGCGUAGUAGAUUUUAUCUCGCUCAGGGCGUGCUGCGGGUCCCGGCCGUUAAAAGCCUUCGUAACCCAAGGUUGACCUCGGAUCAGGUAGGAAGACCCGCUGAACUUAAGCAUAUCAAUAAGCGGAGGA